rnacentral:rRNA from 1 species
UUUUCUCAAUGGGGGAAACCCUGAAGGAGCGACGCCGCGUGGAGGAUGAAGGUCUUCGGAUUGUAAACUCCUGUCAUUGGGGAACAAGGUGCAUACGUUAACUGCGUGUGCAUUGAUAGUACCCGAAGAGGAAGAGACGGCUAACUCUGUG